CGUCGCCGCGGUAAUACGUAGGGUGCAAGCGUUAAUCGGAAUUACUGGGCGUAAAGCGUGCGCAGGCGGUUAUAUAAGACAGAUGUGAAAUCCCCGGGCUCAACCUGGGAACUGCAUUUGUGACUGUAUAGCUAGAGUACGGCAGAGGGGGAUGGAAUUCCGCGUGUAGCAGUGAAAUGCGUAGAUAUGCGGAGGAACACCGAUGGCGAAGGCAAUCCCCUGGGCCUGUACUGACGCUCAUGCACGAAAGCGUGGGGAACAAACAGGAUUAGAUACCCGAGUAGUCCCUGUCUCUUAUACA
rnacentral:rRNA from 1 species